GACGAACCGUGCGAACGUUAUUCGGAAUCACUGGGCUUAAAGCGCGUGUAGGCGGGCGACCACGUCGAUGGCUGAAAGCCCCGGCUCACCGGGGAACGGGCCUCGGAUACGGGCCGCCUGGAGGGGGGUAGGGGGGCCGGAACGUUCCGGUGGAGGCGGUGGAAAUGCGUUGAGAUCGGAAGGAACGCCCGGUGGCGAAAGCGGGCGUGCCUGGACCCCACCCUGGACGGC
rnacentral:rRNA from 1 species